rnacentral:lncRNA from 1 species
AGGCGCUCAUCCCUGAAGCGGCUCCGCGUUCCCAGGAGCCUCCCGCCGGAGGGAGAAAUGUUGCUGAAGCGCUGCUGAAGGGGCCACAGAUGCAAGGAUUUGGGACACGUUUGAACCUUUAAGCUGUCUGACAUUGACCUCCUUUCAUUAUUAAUAAAGAAGAAGCAGGAGCUUAGGAUAUAUUAACACCAACUCAUUAAUGUACUAACCGGACAGUGCUCUGCAAACCCCACUGCGCAGUAAAGGACUGGACUGGCCCAGGACACAAUCAUUUCGCAUUUCCUCAGCUUAUAAUAUGACUGGAUGGAGGGAAAUUUGAUGAGCAUGAGGGAAGACCAUUCCUUUCAUGUCCGCUACAGAAUGGAAGCUUCUUGCCUCGAGCUGGCCUUGGAAGGAGAACGUCUGUGUAAAUCAGGGGACUG